ACUCCUACGGGAGGCAGCAGUGGGGAAUAUUGCACAAUGGGGAAACCCUGAUGCAGCCAUGCCGCGUGUGUGAAGAAGGCCUUCGGUUGUAAAGCACUUCAGUAGGGAGGAAGGUAGUGCAGUUAACACCUGCAUUAUUUGACGUUACCUACAGAAGAAGCACCGGCUAACUCCGUGCCAGCAGCCGCGGUAAUACGGAGGGUGCGAGCGUUAAUCGGAAUUACUGGGCGUAAAGCGCAUGCAGGCGGCCUGUUAAGUCAGAUGUGAAAGCCCGGGGGCUUAACCUCGGAAUUGCAUUUGAAACUGGCAGGCUAGAGUCUUGUAGAGGGGGUAGAAUUUCAGGUGUAGCGGUGAAAUGCGUAGAGAUCUGAAGGAAUACCAGUGGCGAAGGCGGCCCCCUGGACAAAGACUGACGCUCAGAUGCGAAAGCGUGGGGAGCAAACAGGAUUAGAUACCCUGGUAGGAUAGCG
rnacentral:rRNA from 1 species